GCAUAAGCAAAAAACCAACUUUUGCGAUGUAAAGUCACAGGGACUUAUUUGUUCCUGCAGCUUGUUUAUCCAGCUUCACUGAGGUACCAAGCAACUCGCUCAAGUCUGGUCAGCAAGUGAAGAGCAGAGCUAAGACUGGAAUCUAAGUCUUCUGAAUUGUCAGUUCAGGACCAUACUCUAUUAUCACAGGAGCAUCAGUGUGGGCACCACCACACCAAGUCAUUCAGAAAAUGGCCCAGUCAGCUGGAAACAGACGGACUACGGAUGGGCCAGUACAGACGUGGCACCCACGGAUCAAAGUCCAGAACCAGAGAAGAGCAUUCUCUCCAUCUUCAUGGACAAAAAGUCAGAGAGUCCUCAGCGACAGGCAUAUAUUUGGUUGUGACAUCAAUACACAGCAAAUUGAAUUCUUCCUGAAAACAACACACUGCAUUGCGUCAAGCACUUCAGGGUUCCAUCACUCCCCUCGGUGCAUACGACGAUGCUUCCUGUUCCGAAAUACUCAUUUUCCUCUGUACAAACAGGUCAGAUGGCUACCUUUGGGCAGGAAUCAAAAUAGAAGCUGAGAUUUUGCAAAGUCAUGCUAGUUUCUUCUCUCCCAAGAACAGAAGGGGCUUAGUUGGGAACCAUUCUCUGUCUGCAUGUUGGGCAGCAUCUGUCAAAGGGAACUCUCUCUCUCUCUCUCUCUCUCUCUCUCUCUCUCUCUCUCUCNNNNNNNNNNNNNNNNNNCCUGAGAAAUGGAUGCUUCAUCCCUGUUCUGACCUCCUUAGAUACAUACACUUAUACUCAAAUGUGAACAGAUGGAAAGCUAGCCAUAGGCAUGGUGACCACAUCUCUGGAACAGUCUAGAACACUUUCCACGGACCCUCUGGGUUACACAACUAUUUGCAUUUCUUUGCUCAGUUUCUUCUUCCUCCACCCUUUCACUUUCAGCUUGACUUCACCUUCUGGCCCUGAGAGUUACUUCAGCAUCCUUUGCCCAACAUCUAUUUUAGACCCAAUUCCCAGGAUGAAGCUUACCAACAUCGCUGGAACUCGUUUCUGCUAGGAAAGGAGCCCCCAGCUCCAAACAACAGGGCAACUUUGGGGAAGAAAGGGAAAUGAAAAUGCACUUUAGGGGAUGACAUCCAAAUGCAGUUGCCCUAGAGAUGCUACUUGACCU
rnacentral:lncRNA from 1 species